AGAUACCCCUGUAGUCCUAGCCGUAAACGAUGGAUACUAGGUGUAGCUUGUAUCGACCCGAGCUGUGCCGAAGCUAACGCGUUAAGUAUCCCGCCUGGGGAGUACGCACGCAAGUGUGAAACUCAAAGGAAUUGACGGGGGCCCGCACAAGCGGUGGAGUAUGUGGUUUAAUUCGAUGCAACGCGAAGAACCUUACCAGGGCUUGACAGGUGGCGAAUCUCUGUGAAAGCAGGGAGUGCCUUAGGGAGCGCCAAUACAGGUGGUGCAUGGCUGUCGUCAGCUCGUGUCGUGAGAUGUUGGGUUAAGUCCCGCAACGAGCGCAACCCUCGUUUUUAGUUGCCAUUUUAAUGGCUCUCUAGAGAGACUGCCGAGGACAACUCGGAGGAAGGUGGGGAUGAGGUCAAGUCAGCAUGCCCCUUACGCCCUGGGCUACACACGUACUACAAUGGUUGGGACAAAGGGCAGCUACCCCGCGAGGGCAAGCGAAUCUCAUCAAACCCAGCCUCAGUUCAGAUUGCAGGCUGCAACUCGCCUGCAUGAAGGAGGAAUCGCUAGUAAUCGCAGGUCAGCAUACUGCGGUGAAUUCGUUCCCGGGCCUUGUACACACCGCCCGUCACACCAUGGAAGCUGGCUACGCCCGAAGUCGUUACCCUAACCCUUAGGGGAGGGGGAUGCCGAAGGCAGAGCUAGUGACUGGGGUGAAGUCGUAACAAGGUAGCCGUACCGGAAGGUGUGGCUGGAUCACCUCCUUU
rnacentral:rRNA from 1 species